CGGUUUCGGCUGUCACUUACAGAUGGACCCGCGGCGCAUUAGCUAGUUGGUGGGGUAAUGGCUCACCAAGGCGACGAUGCGUAGCCGACCUGAGAGGGUGAUCGGCCACACUGGGACUGAGACACGGCCCAGACUCCUACGGGAGGCAGCAGUAGGGAAUCUUCCGCAAUGGACGAAAGUCUGACGGAGCAACGCCGCGUGAGUGAUGAAGGUUUUCGGAUCGUAAAGCUCUGUUGUUAGGGAAGAACAAGUGCGAGAGUAACUGCUCGCACCUUGACGGUACCUAACCAGAAAGCCACGGCUAAUUACGUGCCAGCAGCCGCGGUAAUACGUAGGUGGCAAGCGUUGUCCGGAAUUAUUGGGCGUAAAGGGCUCGCAGGCGGUUUCUUAAGUCUGAUGUGAAAGCCCCCGGCUCAACCGGGGAGGGUCAUUGGAAACUGGGAAACUUGAGUGCAGAAGAGGAGAGUGGAAUUCCACGUGUAGCGGUGAAAUGCGUAGAGAUGUGGAGGAACACCAGUGGCGAAGGCGACUCUCUGGUCUGUAACUGACGCUGAGGAGCGAAAGCGUGGGGAGCGAACAGGAUUAGAUACCCUGGUAGUCCACGCCGUAAACGAUGAGUGCUAAGUGUUUAGGGGGUUUCCGCCCCUUAGUGCUGCAGCUAACGCAUUAAGCACUCCGCCUGGGGGAGUACGGUCGCAAGACUGAAACUCAAAGGAAUUGACGGGGGCCCGCACAAGCGGUGGAGCAUGUGGUUUAAUUCGAAGCAACGCGAAGAACCUUACCAGGUCUUGACAUCCUCUGACAACCCUAGAGAUAGGGCUUUCCCUUCGGGGACAGAGUGACAGGUGGUGCAUGGUUGUCGUCAGCUCGUGUCGUGAGAUGUUGGGUUAAGUCCCGCAACGAGCGCAACCCUUGAUCUUAGUUGCCAGCAUUCAGUUGGGCACUCUAAGGUGACUGCCGGUGACAAACCGGAGGAAGGUGGGGAUGACGUCAAAUCAUCAUGCCCCUUAUGACCUGGGCUACACACGUGCUACAAUGGACAGAACAAAGGGCUGCAAGACCGCAAGGUUUAGCCAAUCCCAUAAAUCUGUUCUCAG
rnacentral:rRNA from 1 species